GGAGACCCCGCGCUGACUGCUGCUCAAACAUCACGAUAUAUAUAGACUACUUGAAUCUGCCUUUGAAUUGUGUUUCCAGAUGGUACUGCUCCAGAUAGAUCCGGUAUGCAAUCUUGAUUCCUGUUGGAAAAACAGUUGGCAGCUCUGGCCAAGAGGCUUUGGCACACCUUUGGGUUAUGCGCCACUUGCACUCAUACCUGGAUUGGGAGUCUCUGCUCAUUGUCACUCAUGCCCUUGUGAGUGACCGACCUUUGGUCUGGAUUUUUCAAAUGUGUUCUAGUAGAACUCCCCUUGGAAGGGAUUUGGAAGCUUCAACUGGUACAGAAUGCAGCUGCACAGAUAGUAAAUGAAAUUGGGUACGUGGUACAUGUAACACCACUGCAUUAGUUGCUGGUAUGUUUCUGGAUGCAGCUAAAGGUGCUGGUUGUCACCUUCAAAGCUCUUUAUGGCUUGAGAUUGGCUUACCUGAGAGACCGUCUUCUCCCAGUUGUUUCUACCUGUCCAAUCCAGUCCCAUCAGGAUGGACACGCUCCAAAUCCUGUCAGCCAAGGAACAUCAGCUGUCAUGGACUAGGAUACAUGCCUUUUCUGCCAUAGUACUUGUCCUCUUCCUUCAGAGAUUAGGAUGGCCCCAUGUUCGCUCUUUGUAAGAUCUUGGAGUCAUGGUUAUAUGCCUGGGCCUAGGAUCCCAAGUAUGUGAAGCAUCCUGUUUCCUGGAUAUCUGCAGAUCAUCAUUUUCUCAGCUACUGUGUAUAUUUAUUUUUUGUAUCCUGCUUGUAAUUUGGUUUUAAUUGAUUUUAUGACAGUUCGCCGCCCGGUUAUUUGUUUGAGAUGGGUGGCUAUAUAUCUUGAAUAAAUAUAUCUCCAUCAGAUUUUAAAAGGCAAAUCAGAGGUGACACACACUCACAUAUACGCACAAUGUACAAAACUACAUGAUUAAGUAUGAUUUUUAAUUGUAACUUGAUCAAUACAAAAUAUCCUAAAACUACAAUCAGUCUGGGCUCUAAUUAUGGAAGGACCUCAUAGAUUACAGAAGAAGAAUUGUUUGUUGAAUUAUGGGUUUUUUUUGUAAUUUUCCUGAUUGCAAAUGUGUGGAUAUAUGUAAUAAAUAUUAUACACAGCAAGACACAUACAUACACACACACACACACAAUUAGGUAACUAAGUUUAUUCAGUAUUUAUUAGAGAGCAAAUCCUAAACUAAAAUGAAAACUGCUUGAGUAUCCAUGUAUUGUGACCAAUGCAAAAUAAAAAAGCAUUUUUUCUGAAAGUUAGCUCUUGACCCUAUUUGGUAGAAAUUUGAUUUUAUUUUCUAUCCCAUGUUUCUUCCACUUAGGAAAAGAGAAGAUAAUUUAAUUUCAAGUCAACAAUCCAAAGUCUUUAAACAACCUGAUCUCUUCUUGGCACCAGAAAAUAUUGUCAGGACCAUAUAUAACUUCCCGUGGGGCAAUUUUACACAUCAAUAUUGCAAUCAAAAACUCUAACUGAGAAGAGUCAAGUCAGGAUAACAUUGUGGUUCCCCCACACCUUUUCCAUUGAGAGAGAUAUUAGAAGCUGGAAAGGAGGGGUUUUUUUUGUUUUUUGUUUUGUUACCAAGGAUAGCUACUUUAUAUUUCAAGAGGCUUUUAUAUGCAGUUGUUAUUUAAACUCAACAUUUCAGGUACCAAACUCUGUGUGAAUUAACUUCAGUAGGAGAAUCAUCACAUACUUGUUCCUGGACUAGGUCUGGUCUCAAGAAUCACUAUCUCCCGUCAAUUCAGAAACUAAGAAAAAUGAGUAGUCCUUUUGGCAAUUCUAAGGAAUGGCAUGUGUUUGGGGAAAAUAUUUAAUAUAUCUAGCUGAUAUUGGGAGAAAUCAUAGACAAUCCAAUAUUCUGUCUUUAUUUUUUAAAUUUUGAACUCACUUGAGAUAUUCUUGCCAGUUGAUUUCAUAUUGUAGAAUUGUUUCCGUAUACUGAUAAUAAAUGAACC